GGGGGACGGAGAAGGCUAUGUUGGCCGGGCGACGGUUGUCCCGGUUUAAGCGUGUAGGUGUGUGUUCCAGGUAAAUCCGGUUCACUUUAACACUGAGGCGUGAUGACGAGGCACUACGGUGCUGAAGCAACAAAUGCCCUGCUUCCAGGAAAAGCCUCUAAGCAUCAGGUAACAUCAAAUCGUACCCCAAACCGACACAGGUGGUCAGGUAGAGAAUACCAAGGCGCUUGAGAGAACUCGGGUGAAGGAACUAGGCAAAAUGGUGCCGUAACUUCGGGAGAAGGCACGCUGACACGUAGGUGAAGUGAUUUACUCAUGGAGCUGAAGUCAGUCGAAGAUACCAGCUGGCUGCAACUGUUUAUUAAAAACACAGCACUGUGCAAACACGAAAGUGGACGUAUACGGUGUGACGCCUGCCCGGUGCCGGAAGGUUAAUUGAUGGGGUCAGCGCAAGCGAAGCUCCUGAUCGAAGCCCCGGUAAACGGCGGCCGUAACUAUAACGGUCCUAAGGUAGCGAAAUUCCUUGUCGGGUAAGUUCCGACCUGCACGAAUGGCGUAAUGAUGGCCAGGCUGUCUCCACCCGAGACUCAGUGAAAUUGAACUCGCUGUGAAGAUGCAGUGUACCCGCGGCAAGACGGAAAGACCCCGUGAACCUUUACUAUAGCUUGACACUGAACAUUGAGCCUUGAUGUGUAGGAUAGGUGGGAGGCUUUGAAGCGUGGACGCCAGUCUGCGUGGAGCCGACCUUGAAAUACCACCCUUUAAUGUUUGAUGUUCUAACGUGGACCCGUGAUCCGGGUUGCGGACAGUGUCUGGUGGGUAGUUUGACUGGGGCGGUCUCCUCCUAAAGAGUAACGGAGGAGCACGAAGGUUGGCUAAUCCUGGUCGGACAUCAGGAGGUUAGUGCAAUGGCAUAAGCCAGCUUGACUGCGAGCGUGACGGCGCGAGCAGGUGCGAAAGCAGGUCAUAGUGAUCCGGUGGUUCUGAAUGGAAGGGCCAUCGCUCAACGGAUAAAAGGUACUCCGGGGAUAACAGGCUGAUACCGCCCAAGAGUUCAUAUCGACGGCGGUGUUUGGCACCUCGAUGUCGGCUCAUCACAUCCUGGGGCUGAAGUAGGUCCCAAGGGUAUGGCUGUUCGCCAUUUAAAGUGGUACGCGAGCUGGGUUUAGAACGUCGUGAGACAGUUCGGUCCCUAUCUGCCGUGGGCGCUGGAGAACUGAGGGGGGCUGCUCCUAGUACGAGAGGACCGGAGUGGACGCAUCACUGGUGUUCGGGUUGUCAUGCCAAUGGCACUGCCCGGUAGCUAAAUGCGGAAGAGAUAAGUGCUGAAAGCAUCUAAGCACGAAACUUGCCCCGAG
rnacentral:rRNA from 1 species